AAUAGAUACCCUGGUAGUCCACGCCGUAAACGAUGAGUGCUAAGUGUUAGAGGGUUUCCGCCCUUUAGUGCUGCAGCUAACGCAUUAAGCACUCCGCCUGGGGAGUACGGCCGCAAGGCUGAAACUCAAAGGAAUUGACGGGGGCCCGCACAAGCGGUGGAGCAUGUGGUUUAAUUCGAAGCAACGCGAAGAACCUUACCAGGUCUUGACAUCCUCUGCCAACCCUAGAGAUAGGGCGUUCCCCUUCGGGGGACAGAGUGACAGGUGGUGCAUGGUUGUCGUCAGCUCGUGUCGUGAGAUGUUGGGUUAAGUCCCGCAGCGAGCGCAACCCUUGAUCUUAGUUGCCAGCAUUCAGUUGGGCACUCUAAGGUGACUGCCGGUGACAAACCGGAGGAAGGUGGGGAUGACGUCAAAUCAUCAUGCCCCUUAUGACCUGGGCUACACACGUGCUACAAUGGAUGGUACAAAGAGCUGCGAACCCGCGAGGGUAAGCGAAUCUCAUAAAGCCAUUCUCAGUUCGGAUUGUA
rnacentral:rRNA from 1 species